rnacentral:rRNA from 1 species
CCUUAGAGUUCGGGCCGCACGCGCGCUACACUGACGGAGCCAGCGAGUAUUAACCUUGGCCGAGAGGUCUGGGAAAUCUUGUGAAACUCCGUCGUGCUGGGGAUAGAGCAUUGUAAUUAUUGCUCUUCAACGAGGAAUUCCUAGUAAGCGCAAGUCAUCAGCUUGCGUUGAUUACGUCCCUGCCCUUUGUACACACCGCCCGUCGCUACUACCGAUUGAAUGGCUUAGUGAGGCCUCCGGAUUGGUUUAAAGAAGGGGGCAACUCCAUCUUGGAACCGAAAAGCUGGUCAAACUUGGUCAUUUAGAGGAAGUAAAAGUCGUAACAAGGUUUCCGUAGGUGAACCUGCGGAAGGAUCAUUACAGUAUUCUUUUGCCAGCGCUUAACUGCGCGGCGAAAAACCUUACACACCGUGUCUUUUUUUGAUACAGAACUCUUGCUUUGGUCUGGCCUAGAGAUAGGCUGGGCCAAAGGCACUACAAAACACAAUUUAAAUUUUUUUAACCAUUAGUCAAUGUUUUUGAAAUUAAUCUUCAAAACUUUCAACAACGGAUCUCUUGGUUCUCGCAUCGAUGAAGAACGCAGCGAAAUGCGAUAAGUAAUAUGAAUUGCAGAUUUUCGUGAAUCAUCGAAUCUUUGAACGCACAUUGCGCCCUCUGGUAUUCCAGAAGGCAUGCCUGUUUGAGCGUCAUUUCUCUCUCAAACCCCCGGGUUUGGUAUUGAGUGACACUCCUCUGACGAGGCGUCUGCUUGAAACGGAUUGCAUGGGUAGCCGCAUGUAACUGUGCUGUCAACCCCUUCAAUGUAUUAGGUUUAUCCACUCGUGAACGGUUACAAACAAGGUUUGCGGGGAAUGGCCCGGCCCUACACAUCCUUUAGUUUGACCCCAAUCAGGGAGGACACCCCCGAACUUAGCCUAUCAUAACGGAGGAAAAAAACCACGGGAUUGCCUUAUACGGCGAGGAACGCAAACCC